AUUAUUUUGCUUUAUGUAUCUACAAAGCAGACCCCACUAGGAGCCUCACAUUCAUCACCUGCUUCAGUCUUCACAAGGGCUCCCUCAGGAAAGUAGUAGAAUGCUUUCCAUCACACAGGAGAAGAAAGAGAGGCACAGAGAGGGUCGGAAGCUUCCCCAAGGUCACACAGCGGGUGUUGGUGGAGCUGGGUGUUUGGAACUGGGCGAAAGGGGUAGGCGGGCGGUCAGAGCCUGACAUCACCAUGCCGGAUCUAGAGACCUCAUUUUGCUGGGAAGCCUGUGUGAGCGUCAGGCCUGCUCACUCUGCCUCGGCUGUGGACCCCUUCCGGGCGCAAGUUUCAGCCUCGCAGACCGAGUCAGGUGUCGAAAUCCCUCCUCUGAGUCCGCAGGUGGGGAAGUGAGGCUCAGAGAGGGACAGGGGCUUGCCCCAGGUCACACAGCCCACCAGGGGCAGGGCGGGAGGAGACCCUUGACCUCCCGCUGCCCUUGGCCCUCCCCAGCUCAGAGUUCAAGGAUGCGGAGAGGACCAGCCAGGGGUUAAAAUCCACCCAAACGCGGAACGGCAGCCCCAGCCGUCCCCCGGCCCGGGCUCACUCCCAGACCGCCGCCCCCACCGCGGGCCGGCCCGCAUCUGGGCGCAGGGAACAGAUUUCCCGUUUCACACAGCGCACAAUAGGCCGCCUCAAAGGCGCGCCGCGGGCAUUGUUCGGGCCGGCGCCCGCGCGUCCUACCUCCGCGCGCGAAUUAACCCCCGUCACCCUCGCCAUUGUCGCCGCGCACUUCGGGGCCGGCCACAAAGGCGCCAGAAAACCCUGCCGUGUUCGGAAGGAUGGGGGUGGGGGGAGGGAGCCACCGGGAUGCGAGGCAGGCAGGCAGGCCCCUAGGUCCCCAGGCCCCUGCCUUGGAGAUAGCUCUUGGAGACCCCAACUCACCAUCUCCUACUCAGCUGUUAAUGCCUCCCAGACUGAUCCUGUGCUUCUGCUGGGGACCUGGGCCUGCCUGCCGUGAGUCCCGUGAUAGAAAAAUGCUCACCAGCGACUGGCCUGAACAGUCUCCACAAGUCAGCUUGGCCGCAGAGUUGUAAAGUGAUUUCUGCCAACCAAUAAACUGGAGAUGCAGGAUGAAAUAAAGCUCUCAGAGAGGCUCGUGGGAAAUGCUGAGGGUCUGAGGAGGAAGGGGGAGGUUCUGAAAAGAUAAGGCUGAGAUGAGAAGAGAAAACGGUAGGCAAAGAGAUUGCAUAUUUAGUCCCUUGUUCGGGGAGGUGAGACUGGGUCUUUGCUUUCUGGUUCUCUUGCUUUGAAUUGAUUCUGAGACUCUUAAGAAGAUGUUUGCCUGAUCACCGUGAAAGGCUCAUAUAAAGUAGAUGCUGGAAGGGACCAAUAUUUAGUGAGGGCCUAGUAUGUUCUGGGCCCACAUAAACUAUCUUAUGUGAUUCUUUCUAGUCGUCACCAUAGCCAAUGCCAGCCGAGUUUGGUAUCCUCAUUCCGGGGACUAGGAAACAGAGGCUCAGAGACGCUAAGUGGUUUUUCUAAGGACACACAGCUCAUAAGUGCUGAAGCUGGGAUUUGAACUCAAGUCUGUCUGGUUCCGUGCUUACUCUUGUCAUUAUAUCUCAAUGUGUC
rnacentral:lncRNA from 1 species